AUUGAACGCUGGCGGCAGGCCUAACACCUGCAAGUCGAACGAGUGGCGGACGGGUGAGUAAUAUCUGGGAACGUGCCCGGUGGCGGGGGAUAACUACUGGAAACGGUAGCUAAUACCGCAUACCAUUGGAUGGGCCGAGAUGGGAUUAGCUAGUAGGUGGGGUAAAGGCUAACCAAGGCGACGAUCCCUAGCUGGUCUGAGAGGAUGACAAGCAAAACGGGAACGGGGACACGGUCCAGAAGCCUACGGGAGGCAGAAGUGGGGAAUAUUGGACAAUGGGCGAAAGCCUGAUGCAGCCAUGCCGCGUGUGUGAAGAAGGUCUUCGGGUUGUAAAGUACUUUCAGUUGGGAGGCGUUACCAACAGAAUAAGCACCGGCUAACUCCGUGCCAGCAGCCGCGGUAAUAC
rnacentral:rRNA from 1 species